rnacentral:rRNA from 1 species
UACAUAGGGGCGAGCGUUAUCCGGAAUUAUUGGGCGUAAAGGGUACGUAGGCGGGCCUGCAAGUCUGAUUUGAAAGCACACGGCUUAACCGUGUGAGGUAAUUAGAAACUACAGGUCUAGAGAGUGGUAGAGGUAAAUGGAAUUCCAAGUGGAGCGGUGAAAUGCGUAGAGAUUUGGAGGAACACCAGUGGCGAAGGCGGUUUACUGGGCCACAUCUGACGCUGAUGUACGAAAGCGUGGGGAGCAAACAGGAUUAGAUACCCCGGUAGUCCCUGAGCGGG